AUUACCUUGGUGUUAAGGUUCACGCUUGUGUAGGUGGUACCGUUGUUCGUGAAGAUCAGCGUAUUCUUUCAAGUGGGGUCCACGUCGUGGUUGGUACACCUGGACGUGUGUUUGACAUGUUGAGAAGGCAAUCGCUCCGCGCUGAUUACAUCAAAAUGUUUGUGCUCGACGAAGCUGAUGAGAUGCUCUCCAGAGGGUUCAAGGAUCAGGUUUUCCUCUUAGCUUUUGUACUUUACUUUUUUCGUGCUUUCACUUUCACUUAUCGUAAAGUGAUUUCAACUGUAUGCCGUUACUCUUUCAGAUAUACGAUAUCUUCCAGCUGCUGCCACCCAAGAUUCAAGUGGGAGUGUUCUCCGCCACUAUGCCGCCAGAGGCCCUCGAAAUCACGAGGAAGUUCAUGGCUAAGCCCGUUCGUAUUCUCGUGAAGCGUGACGAGUUAACCCUCGAGGGUAUCAAGCAGUUUUACGUUAACGUAGACAAAGAGGACUGGAAACUUGAAACCCUAUGCGACCUCUAUGAAACACUCGCCAUCACACAGAGUGUCAUCUUUAUCAACACGAGGCGCAAAGUUGACUGGUUGACCGAUAAAAUGCGAAGCCGUGAUCACACAGUGUCGGCCACUCACGGUGACAUGGACCAGAACACGAGGGAUAUUAUUAUGAGGGAAUUUCGAUCAGGUUCUUCGAGGGUUUUAAUCACCACUGAUCUUUUGGCACGUGGAAUAGAUGUGCAGCAAGUCUCUCUUGUGAUCAAUUACGAUCUGCCAACUCAGCCUGAGAACUACUUGCAUCGUAUUGGUCGAAGUGGAAGGUUUGGGAGAAAGGGUGUUGCUAUAAACUUUGUCACUAAAGAUGACGAGCGCAUGCUUUUCGAUAUACAGAAGUUUUAUAAUGUUGUGGUUGAGGAGCUUCCGGCUAAUGUUGCUGAUCUACUCUGAUGGGUUUUAUUUUCUCCUUUUUUUCGGCUUGUCGUUUGUUUGUAUUUGUAUAAUUAUCUGAAAAAUAUCUGCAGAUUUUGAUGUUUGUUUAACUUCUCUUGUUGUUGGAUUUUUAAUUGUUUUAUGUAUGUGAAGAGAGUCCUUUUGAGCAUCCUUGGGUUUGAUUUUAUUUAUCCUGGGAGAUGAUACUACUGGAGUGUGAUACUAUAUGGUUCUUGUGUUCGUAUUAUAUAUUGGCCUGUUGUGUAAAUAAAUUAUAUUCAAAAAAUAGAUAAUAACUGUUAGUGUAAAUUACGGCCACCCUCAAGGUAAGGUCAAAUUACGAUUGAGAGGUGGUUGUUAAUUACCCAACAUAAAGGAUUUUGUCGUAAUUUAACAUUACCUUAGGGCGCAAAUUACCCCGACUGUAAUUUAGGUAUAUAAUUCUGUUAUGACACGAAUUUUCGCAUAACCGUAUCGAAAUAUAUAGAAAGAAAGACGGAAAUUGAACGAAGAGAAGUAAAAGAGGAGAACAAAAGAAAACCUAGCUUCAUCAACAUAUGCAGACAAUCCAAUCACACAAUCUCACUAGCCUAAUUAUAAACAAAAAUAACUCCAACCCUUAAAAGUAAACUAGUUACACAAAAGCCAUCUCGAAAAUAAAGUCCGAAAGCAAAUUUCUCCUAAAAGUCUCUGACUACUGAUCAACAACACUCUGACCUUGAAGAAGACCCUCGCGAAUCUGCGAGGUGAUGUCUUUAACAGCACCAGGUCCAUGUGGGAUAAAAACGGCACUAGUCUUUGAUGAAGCUCCGAUUUCCUUCAUUGUGUCAAAGUACUGAGUCACGAGAACCAUGUCCAUUACAUCCUUUGCACUUGUACCGGGUACAUUCUCCGAGAAUGCCAGCACACUGUCUCGAAGCCCAUCCACAAUCGCUUGCCUCUGUCGAGCAAUACCAAGUCCAGACAGGUACUUUGACUCUGCUUCGCCCUCGGCUUUCUUGAUUUGGAGAAUCUUCUCUGCUUCGGCCUUCUCGUUUGUAGCUACCCUCAUCCUAGCAGCUGUUAUAUAUAAAAUGAACCGUUUAGUGGGAGUUUGAAAAAAAAAACGAAAGAACAUUUGUAUAAGAUGUAACGAGUUUUAAGAAAUUACUUGCCUGCGUUGAUUUCGUUCAUGGCUCGUUUGACAUGAACGUCUGGUUCAAUGUCAACAAUUAGGGUCUGGACGAUUUCGAACCCGUAAGCAGACAUGGCCUACACAUGCAGCAAAGGCAAAUCAAUAAAUUUAAUAAAAAAACCUUCGAGCGGAUUAGAUAUUGAAUCCUUAUGGUAACAUGAUUUUUGAGUAAUAAGUACCUUUUCGAGUUCUUCCUCCACAGCUUUGGCUAUUUCAUUCUUUUGUUCAAAGACAGAAUCCAAUAACAAUCUCGGCACACUGGCUCUGAUGACUAUAAAGGAAAAUGAAAAGGGGCAAAAAGUCAUACUUAUCUCGGAUAAACGGCUGAUUUAUUGCAUUAAUAUCCAAAAAAAGGUAAUAUUUAAUAAUCAAGCAUCCAAAACUACUUAGGCCCAUAGUCGAAUACGUGCUCGAACCAAGUGACUCACAGAGCAAGAGGGAAAAAAACAAUAAUCAAUAUCAAAAUCAUGAUGCACAUCCCACAGUUUUGUUAGCAAGUAUGAUAUGAAAAGAAAAAACACGAAAGAAAAUCUGCGUUACAUCUUUUUCAAUGUGGAAUAAAAUCAUACCAUCAAAAACAUACGACUGGAUCUGUGCCUUUGUGUUAGUGAGCUUAUAAAAUGCAUCAGACGCAUUUUGUGCCACAGCUCGGUAUUGGAUGGAAGCCACCACAGUCACGAAAACAUUGUCCUGAAAACAGGGUAUUAAAGUUAGCCAAAGGGUCAUUUAUAAAGAACUGAUGGUAAAAAUAUUUGAAAAUUGCAGCAGAUAGAAUUUGGGAAGCAACCUUAGUUUUUGUUUCGCAACGAACAUCUAGCUGUUGCACACGAAGUGAAAGGGUACCGGCCAUCUGGUAACCGAAACACCAUGGCAAGCAGUGACAGCCAGGAUCAAGAACAGAAUCAAAUUUACCGAAAUGUUCCUUCAUAGCAACGGUUGACUGGUCAACUUGAACACAGCAGAGUGCUUGACCCAUUGUUAAGACCUACAGCAUAAUAAUCUUAUGAAAUAAUGUAAAAUUAAUAUAUAUGCAAUACUAUCAAGAGUAAAUUGAUUCAUUAAAUUCAAAUGAGACCCUCUGUUACAGUUAACCCUUAAUAGAAGCUAAAAAUUAGGGUUAGUAAAAUCUAUAACAGUUUCUUAAUGGCGCCAAAACAAGCUAAAAAAUACAGAAGCACGUCGCAGAAAACGAAUCAGUGAAAACCAGAAAUUAGGGUUCGUAAUUAUGCACACGGUCGUAAAUUCUAUAAAAUUUGGGAAAUGAACAAACGCAGAUCACAAAUUCACAAUAGCAGAACUUAAGAUCACUACUUAAUUAUCUCAUCUACUACAAAAAUUGAAAAGGAAGGAACCCAAAUCAUCACACACACACACACACCAGAUAACACAAACACCUACGUGAAAUUCCCCCCCAAAAAAACCGCAGAAAAUUACGCAAUGCCUACAAAUAUGAAACAACAGAACACACACCAAAAACAAAGAUUAUAAGGAUGUGAGGAAACCCACCUCUGAAGAAAGGGUUUCUGAUGCCGCUAGUUAGAGAGAGAAAGUAGAGAGAGAGAGUGAUAUUGAGAAGAAGGUGACAGACACGAAUAUGCAGACGUCGAUUUUAUAGGUGAAAAAUAGUGACAAAAUAAAGGUAAUUUCUUUUUACCUAAGGUUUCCUUUCUUCUCCUUUUUUUCUUUAUUAGGGACUAACUAAUAAUUUCGAAACUGAAUUUGUUUUCUUAACCAAAAAUAAUAAACGCGGUUUUCGACGUGUAACAUAAUUAUUUACCAUUUUUUUUUCUUUUUUAGAAUUUUAAUUAAUUAAAUUACUAUGCGUGUUGGAAAUCAUAAUCGACCAUGAAAUCGGACCACCAUCUCGGUUACGGUUGGGUGGGACUGAACCGGUUCAAUCGGGUUUCUGAUUUUCUUUAAAAAAUAUUAUGAUUUAAUUAAUUUUAAAGUUUUUAAAAUACUAUUUUCUUUAUAAUUUUUUUUUUUUUCAUUUACUCUUUUCAUGACCGCUCUUGAUCGGAUUUAGCCACCUACAACUAACUCAAUGAAGGUCUGCUCAGAUUCAACCACAAACAACAAAUUUUGCGGUGGUUUAAAUUGUCUUAACUAAAACCUGUAUUCCUUGUCUACUUCGUCGAUUUAUGAGUUUCGAUCAUUUGACUCGAUUUUUAAUUUAUUUCGAUGUAGAGGUCAGAUCAAACUACCUUCAGGUUCACGAUCAAACCGGUCCGAUCGACCAAUUAAGUAAACAUUGUUUAGUAGUAUAUCAAUAUUUUAGAACACUCAUACAUACAUGUUUUCGAUUUUUGAAGUACUCUUUAUUAAGGGGGCUAAUUAAAAAAAAAAAAGAAAAAAAAAAAAAGAAAAAGCAGCAGAAUAUAACUAACAAUAGUACAUUGUUGGUUACAAAAAGUGGUCAAAAAAUAACCAUCGUUAAUUAUACUAUAUAUUUUAUUAAAUAACCUAAAUUAAAUAAUGAAUCAAUUUUUACAUAAUUAAACUCGAUUAUUCAACUUUAUUUUAUUGUGUAUUGGUCCUUGGACAAUGUUUCAGCUUCAGUUAUGGGCCUUUAUAGCCCACCGAAUCUUUAUUUUACUUUAUUUACCGAAACGGCCCAACAUGCCAAAAUAUCCAGAGACGACGCCGUUUGGAGAAGGGUAAAUUAGUAAAUGAAGGAAAGGAGAUAGAGAAUCCCAAACCCCUAAAAACACAGGGAAUUUCUCAAUCUCUUAUUAUUGUUGCCUUCUCUCUCUCUCUACAGUUUUAUCUCUCUCUCUCUCAUCUGAACUCCGCGGCGUAGAUCCGAGGAGUUUCAGAUAAACACCGCCGCUAAAUCAAAGCUAAACCGCUCUCUUACGUACUUUUUCUUCCUCAGAUCUUCGUUCGAGUUGAGUUUUUUCAGGUAACUUUAUCAGAACUCAGACCUAUAGCUGCUGCAAUUUUUUUUAAUCUAUAUGUGUGUAGGAUUAGGUAUGGUUUUAGUUUUAUAUAUUUUUUUUUGUAGACAUGAUUUUGAUUUGGUAGUUUUAUUCGGAGGAUCUGUUUAUUUUAUGUUGUUGCUGAACUUAUAUUUUUUGGACUAUAAAAUUAGUUUAAAUUUUUGUGUUUUUUGUUAUGCGACGUAGUUUUGGAAAUUACCUUUUUUUCAUGUUGAUUUUGUUGUUUGUUUGCUUUAGAACUUCCAGAUUUUGCUGUUUCCAUGGUUGUUGUUGAACUUCACUUGUGACUUAGUGAAUAAAUCAGCUAAAAAUUGGUGAUUUACGGGUUUAUGUGUGUUUCGUGGCUUUCUGAAGUUCAAUGAUAUAUUGAUGAAUACAGAGCAAGUGUGAGAAGAUUUGCGUGAAUCCUACUGUUUUAACUGUGGGCAUCUUGUUUCAUUUGUUUAUCUUUGUUUUCUAUUUCCACAGUCAUGGCUGACAAAGUACCCGAGGGUUCCAAUUUCGAUGCUCGCCAGUUCGAUGCAAAAAUGGAUGAGAUGUAAGUUCUCUCUUUUGACUGCAAUGUUCGGCAAUCUGAGUUCUUUAUGAACUUUGUUGGUUAUUACUUUAUUACCCGUGCUAUAGUAUUUUUCUAAGUGAGUUGACAUAUUUUUACAGACUUGGUGCUGAAGGCGAGGAAUUUUUCACUAGCUAUGACGAGGUGUACGACAGUUUUGAUGCCAUGGGCUUGCAGGAAAAUCUUCUUAGGGGCAUCUAUGCAUAUGGUAUAUACCCAAUCUAUUUAAGAACUUUUUUUGUAUUAAAUCGUCAUGAAUUCUUGAUGAGGCCUUUCCUGGAUAUACUUCCGUUGUUAUAUGCCUUCUCGUUUUCAUCCAAUCUGAUGCAAUUGGGUCAUAUAUUCAUGUGAAUAUAAGAUGUCUGCACGGAUACGACAUAAUGCCAUCUAGUUAAUCUCAUCUUCUGUUGUUUACUAGCACAAGAAGUUAUUUUAGUGCCAAUCUUUUUGUGGUUCUUGCUAGAGAAUGAAAUAACUCGUUUUUCUGUUGUUUUAAAGGUUUUGAGAAGCCCUCUGCCAUCCAGCAAAGAGGGAUUGUUCCCUUCUGCAAGGGACUGGACGUGAUCCAACAAGCUCAAUCUGGUACUGGAAAAACUGCAACCUUUUGCUCUGGAGUUUUGCAGCAGCUCGACUAUACUUUAGUUGAAUGCCAGGCCCUUGUUCUGGCACCAACUCGCGAGCUUGCACAGCAGAUUGAGAAAGUUAUGCGAGCCCUAGGUGAUUAUCUUGGUGUUAAGGUCCACGCAUGUGUUGGAGGCACCAGCGUUCGUGAAGAUCAGAGGAUUCUUUCAAGUGGGGUCCACGUCGUGGUUGGUACACCUGGACGUGUUUUUGACAUGUUGAGAAGGCAGUCACUCCGCUCUGAUUACAUCAAAAUGUUUGUGCUCGAUGAAGCUGAUGAAAUGCUCUCCAGAGGGUUC
rnacentral:lncRNA from 1 species